rnacentral:tRNA from 1 species
GGGGAUAUAGCUCAGCGGUAGAGCAAUAGACUGUUAAUCCAUGGGUAGCAGGUUCAAAUCCUUCUAUCCCCG